GACGAACGCUGGCGGCGUGCUUAACACAUGCAAGUCGAACGAUGAAGCCGGAGCUUGCUCUGGUGAAUUAGUGGCGAACGGGUGAGUAACACGUGAGUAACCUGCCCUUGACUCUGGGAUAACUGCGGGAAACUGUAGCUAAUACCGGAUACGACCCUCGGAGGCAUCUCCUGGGGGUGGAAAGAAUUUCGGUCAAGGAUGGACUCGCGGCAUAUCAGAUAGUUGGUGAGGUAAAGGCUCACCAAGGCGACGACGGGUAGCCGGCCUGAGAGGGUGACCUGGCAGACUGGGACUGAGACACGGGCCAGACUCCUACGGGAGGCAGCAGUAGGGAAUAUUGCACAAUGGGCGCAAGCCUGAUGCAGGAACGCCGCGUGAGGGAUGACGGCCUUCGGGUUGUAAACCUCUUUUAGCAGGGAAGAAGCGAAAGUGACGGUACCUGCAGAAAAAGCACCGGCUAACUACGUGCCAGCCGCCGCCUAA
rnacentral:rRNA from 1 species